UACAGAGGUGGCAAGCGUUGUUCGGAUUUACUGGGCGUAAAGGGUGCGUAGGUGGCUUUGUAUGUCGGGCGUGAAAUCCCACUGCUCAACGGUGGAACGCCGCCCGAAACUGCAGGGCUAGAGUGCAGGAGAGGAGAGCGGAAUUCUUGGUGUAGCGGUGGAAUGCGUUGAUAUCAAGAAGAACACCAGUGGCGUAGGCGGCUCUCUGGAAUGCAACUGACACUGAGGCACGAAAGCGUGGGGAGCAAACAGG
rnacentral:rRNA from 1 species